rnacentral:rRNA from 1 species
UUAGCCCUACGGGAGGCAGCAGUGGGGGAUAUUGCACAAUGGGGGGAACCCUGAUGCAGCGACGCCGCGUGGGUGAAGGAGCGUUUCGGCGCGUAAAGCCCUAUCGGCAGGGAAGAAGGAGGACGGUACCUGACUAAGAAGCCCCGGCUAACUACGUGCCAGCAGCCGCGGUAAUACGUAGGGGGCCAGCGUUAUCCGGAUUUACUGGGUUUAAAGGGUGCGCAGGCGGCACGGCAAGCCGGCGGUCAAAUCGCGGGGCUCAACCCCGCCCAGCCGUCGGAACUGCCGGGCUAGAGUGGGCGCGA